rnacentral:lncRNA from 1 species
UUAUUUUGCUCGAUCCCUUUUGUUUAUGGAAACUUUGAGAAUGACUUGAUUGUGUCUUUGCAAAAUGAACAGCGUCUGACUCUGAAAAGAUUGGUUGACAUAAGCAUGGGAGUCAUUACUCCUUUGUCAGAGCAAUUGACAAAGCCGUUACCCAAUGCCAUGGUAUUGGUUACUCUGAAGGAGUUAUCUGGUGGUGCUCAAAAGCUUCUUCCAGAAGGUGUGAUAAUCGUAAUAGUUUUUUAAGUUCUUUGAAUUAAUUAUAUUCCAAAAGUUUAGUAAUCAGGCUAGAAAGGGAACCUCCUUCAGGUACACGAUUGGUUGUGUCUGUGCGUGGUGAUGAAUCAAAAGAUGAGUUGGAAAUCCUGAAGAGCACCGAUGUUACUAUGAUUCUUCAUAAUCUGCCAUAUACAGAAGAAAAAACUGGCAGAGUUCAUGCAGCCAGGAGG